GAUGAACGCUGGCGGCGUGCCUAAUACAUGCAAGUCGAGCGAACAGACGAGGAGCUUGCUCCUCUGACGUUAGCGGCGGACGGGUGAGUAACACGUGGAUAACCUACCUAUUAGACUGGGAUAACUUCGGGAAACCGGAGCUAAUACCGGGUAAUAUCUUGAACCGCAUGGUUCAAUAGUGAAAGACGGUUUUGCUGUCACUUAUAGAUGGAUCCGCGCCGCAUUAGCUAGUUUGUAAGGUAACGGCUUACCAAGGCAACGAUGCGUAGCCGACCUGAGAGGGUGAUCGGCCACACUGGAACUGAGACACGGUCCAGACUCCUACGGGAGGCAGCAGUAGGGAAUCUUGCGCAAUGGGUGAAAGCCUGACGGAGCAACGCCGCGUGAGUGAUGAAGGUCUGCGGAUCGUAAAACUCUGUUAUUAGGGAAGAACAAAUGUGUAAGUAACUAUGCACGUCUUGACGGUACCUAAUCAGAAAGCCACGGCUAACUACGUG
rnacentral:rRNA from 1 species